rnacentral:rRNA from 1 species
CCUACGGGAGGCAGCAGUGGGGAAUAUUGGAUAAUGGGGGGAACCCUGAUCCAGCCAUGCCGCGUGUGUGAAGAAGGCCCUCGGGUUGUAAAGCACUUUCAGUGAGGAAGAACGCCUGGUGGUUAAUACCCAUCAGGAAAGACAUCACUCACAGAAGAAGCACCGGCUAACUCCGUGCCAGCAGCCGCGGUAAUACGGAGGGUGCGAGCGUUAAUCGGAAUUACUGGGCGUAAAGCGCGCGUAGGUGGCUUGAUAAGCCGGUUGUGAAAGCCCCGGGCUCAACCUGGGAACGGCAUCCGGAACUGUCAAGCUAGAGUGCAGGAGAGGAAGGUAGAAUUCCCGGUGUAGCGGUGAAAUGCGUAGAGAUCGGGAGGAAUACCAGUGGCGAAGGCGGCCUUCUGGACUGACACUGACACUGAGGUGCGAAAGCGUGGGUAGCAAACAGGAUUAGAUACCCCUGUAGUC